GUGCAGCAGGCGCGAAACUUUACAAUGUGCGAAAGCACGAUAAGGGAACUCUGAGUGCCUCCUAAGGAGGCUGUUCAGGUGUCUAAAAGCACCUGAAGGAAGGGCUGGGUAAGACCGGUGCCAGCCGCCGCGGUAACACCGGCAGCCCAAGUGGUAGCCACGUUUAUUGGGUCUAAAGCGUCCGUAGCCGGCUGGGUAAGUUCCUUGGGAAAUUUGGCUGCUUAACAGUCAAGCUUUCAGGGAAUACUGCUCGGCUUGGGACCGGGAGAGGUCAGAGGUACUCCAGGGGUAGGGGUGAAAUCCAUUAAUCCUUGGGGGACCACCGGUAGCGAUGGCGUCUGACCAGACCGGGUCCGACGGUGAGGGACGAAGGCUAGGGGCGCGAACCGGAUUAGAUACCCGCGUAGU
rnacentral:rRNA from 1 species